UACGUAGGGUGCAAGCGUUAAUCGGAAUUACUGGGCGUAAAGCGUGCGCAGGCGGUUUUGUAAGUCUGUCGUGAAAUCCCCCGGGCUCAACCUGGGAAUUGCGAUGGAGACUGCAAGGCUAGAAUCUGGCAGAGGGGGGUAGAAUUCCACGUGUAGCAGUGAAAUGCGUAGAGAUGUGGAGGAACACCGAUGGCGAAGGCAGCCCCCUGGGUCAAAACUGACGCUCAU
rnacentral:rRNA from 1 species